rnacentral:rRNA from 1 species
AACGAACGCUGGCGGCAGGCCUAACACAUGCAAGUCGAGCGAGGACUUCGGUUCUAGCGGCGGACGGGUGAGUAACGCGUGGGAAUGUGCCCUUCUCUACGGAAUAGCCCUGGGAAACUGGGAGUAAUACCGUAUACGCCCUAUUGGGGAAAGAUUUAUCGGAGAAGGAUCAGCCCGCGUUGGAUUAGGUAGUUGGUGGGGUAAUGGCCUACCAAGCCGACGAUCCAUAGCUGGUUUGAGAGGAUGAUCAGCCACACUGGGACUGAGACACGGUCCAGACUCCUACGGGAGGCAGCAGUGGGGAAUCUUAGACAAUGGGGGCAACCCUGAUCUAGCCAUGCCGCGUGAGUGAUGAAGGCCUUAGGGUUGUAAAGCUCUUUCAGCUGGGAAGAUAAUGACGGUACCAGCAGAAGAAGCCCCGGCUAACUCCGUG